rnacentral:rRNA from 3 species
AGACCCGAAACCCGGUGAUCUAGCCAUGGGCAGGUUGAAGGUUGGGUAACACUAACUGGAGGACCGAACCGACUAAUGUUGAAAAAUUAGCGGAUGACCUGUGGCUGGGGGUGAAAGGCCAAUCAAACCGGGAGAUAGCUGGUUCUCCCCGAAAGCUAUUUAGGUAGCGCCUCGUGAAUUCAUCUCCGGGGGUAGAGCACUGUUUCGGCUAGGGGGCCAUCCCGGCUUACCAACCCGAUGCAAACUGCGAAUACCGGAGAAUGUUAUCACGGGAGACACACGGCGGGUGCUAACGUCCGUCGUGAAGAGGGAAACAACCCAGACCGCCAGCUAAGGUCCCAAAGUCAUGGUUAAGUGGGAAACGAUGUGGGAAGGCCCAGACAGCCAGGAUGUUGGCUUAGAAGCAGCCAUCAUUUAAAGAAAGCGUAAUAGCUCACUGGUCGAGUCGGCCUGCGCGGAAGAUGUAACGGGGCUAAACCAUGCACCGAAGCUGCGGCAGCGAACGUAUCACUUAAAGCGAUUCAGCGGGUUACGAUUGACGGAGCGAAGCGACGUCAAAGCGUAUACAAAGUCGAGUCGGUUUAAGGAUACGUUCGUUGGGUAGGGGAGCGUUCUGUAAGCCUGUGAAGGUGGCCUGUGAGGGUUGCUGGAGGUAUCAGAAGUGCGAAUGCUGACAUAAGUAACGAUAAAGCGGGUGAAAAGCCCGCUCGCCGGAAGACCAAGGGUUCCUGUCCAACGUUAAUCGGGGCAGGGUGAGUCGACCCCUAAGGCGAGGCCGAAAGGCGUAGUCGAUGGGAAACGGGUUAAUAUUCCCGUACUUGGUGUUACUGCGAAGGGGGGACGGAGAAGGCUAUGUUGGCCGGGCGACGGUU